rnacentral:rRNA from 1 species
UACGGAGGGAGCUAGCGUUGUUCGGAAUUACUGGGCGUAAAGCGCGCGUAGGCGGCUUUGUAAGUUAGAGGUGAAAGCCCGGAGCUCAACUCCGGAACUGCCUUUAAAACUGCAUCGCUUGAAUCCAGGAGAGGCGAGUGGAAUUCCGAGUGUAGAGGUGAAAUUCGUAGAUAUUCGGAGGAACACCAGUGGCGAAGGCGACUCGCUGGACUGAUACUGACGCUGAGGUGCGAAAGCGUGGGGAGCAAACAGG